CAAGAUAUCCAUCGACAAGAGUUGUGUGUUUGUUGGUUCUUGAGAGGCUACGCAAGAAAGGAAGGAUCAAU
rnacentral:rRNA from 1 species